UACGUAGGGCGCAAGCGUUUGUCCGGAAUUAUUGGGCGUAAAGAGCUCGUAGGCGGUUUGUUGCGUCGGCCGUGAAAUCCCGAGGCUCAACCUCGGGUCUGCAGUCGAUACGAGCAAACUAGAGUGUUGCAGGGGAGAACGGAAUUCCUGGUGUAGCGGUGGAAUGCGCAGAUAUCAGGAGGAACACCGGUGGCGAAGGCGGUUCUCUGGGCAUUACCUGACGCUGGAGGAGCGAAAGUGUGGGGAGCGAACAGG
rnacentral:rRNA from 1 species